rnacentral:rRNA from 1 species
ACGGAGGUUCCAAGCGUUGUUCGGAAUUACUGGGCGUAAAGGGAGCGCAGGUGGGCGGUCCAGUCCAAAGUGGAAGCCCGGGGCUUAACCCCGGAAGUGCUUUGGAUACUAGCCGUCUUGAGUACGCGAGAGGAAGGCGGAAUUCAGGGUGUAGCGGUGAAAUGCUUAGAUAUCCUGAGGAACACCGGUGGCGAAAGCGGCCUUCUGGCGCGAAACUGACACUGAGGCUCGAAAGCGUGGGGAGCAAACGG